rnacentral:rRNA from 1 species
UACGUAGGGGGGCUAGCGUUGUCCGGAAUCAUUGGGCGUAAAGCGCGUGUAGGCGGCCCGAUAAGUCCGCUGUGAAAGUCCAGGCUCAACCCUGGAAUGCCGGUGGAUACUGUCGGCUCGAGUCCGGAAGAGGCGAGUGGAAUUCCUGGUGUAGCGGUGAAAUGCGCAGAUAUCAGGAGGAACACCGAUGGCGAAGGCAGCUCGCUGGGACGGUACUGACGCUGAGACGCGAAAGCGUGGGGAGCAAACAGG